UACAGAGGGUGCAAGCGUUGUUCGGAAUUAUUGGGCGUAAAGCGCGCGUAGGCGGCUCCGCAAGUCGGCCGUGAAAUCUCCGGGCUCAACUCGGAGGGGUCGGGCGAGACUGCGGGGCUCGAGGUGGGCAGAGGGCAGUGGAAUUCCGGGUGUAGUGGUGGAAUGCGUAGAGAUCCGGAGGAACACCAGUGGCGAAGGCGGCUGCCUGGGCCUGGCCUGACGCUGAGGCGCGAAAGCGUGGGGAGCGAUCCGG
rnacentral:rRNA from 1 species